UAGGGAAUCUUCCACAAUGGACGCAAGUCUGAUGGAGCAACGCCGCGUGAGUGAAGAAGGUUUUCGGAUCGUAAAGCUCUGUUGUAAGAGAAGAACGUGUGUGAGAGUGGAAAGUUCACACAGUGACGGUAACUUACCAGAAGGGACGGCUAACUACGUGCCAG
rnacentral:rRNA from 1 species